rnacentral:piRNA from 1 species
UGAAGCAACAGAUAUGUGGAUGGAC